CUCACAUUUAACUGGUUAUAGUACAUGUUGUCCUCAGGGCUAUUCAGCAUUUUGGGCUGCUGACAUCGUCGACGAGGUGUUCUCAGCUUCUGUUCGAGACAGUUUUCUGAACCUAAAGUGUUUGUACUCCUGAAACUUGAAGGACUGAAAACUGGUAUUUAUCCAAAACUUAUUGGCAAGUGCAGGCCUUAAAUAAGAAUCCACAGCAAUACUGUAAACUGGAUGGCACAUACUCAGGCAAUUACUGCCAUGAACUUCAAUGAGACUACACGUGUGAAGAAGUACUACUCAGCAUCGCUUCGGAUUUGCUUGGGGCUGUGGACUGGCUGGUUUGUUGCUAAGGAUGUGAACUAGUAUGUCUUUGGGAGCCUCUCCAGCACAGUGGUUUAAAGCCACAACUUUGCCCCAUGAAUCAACCCAUGAGGGCUUUGACAUUACAGCUCUCUCAGUGGCAUUCCAAUCUCUAGUACUUUCCUUUCAUUAUGUAAUUAUUUGAAGUCCUAAAGUUUUCUGAAGCAAAAGCACUGAAGAGUUCUGCAUUGUUUUCUUCUUCGCAAUGUGAGUACAGUAUUGUGCAAAACUUUAGUAAGUUUAUUUUUUUUAAAGGGGCUCUCUGUGCAUAUACUCAAAA